rnacentral:rRNA from 1 species
UACGGGAGGCAGCAGUGGGGAAUAUUGCACAAUGGGCGAAAGCCUGAUGCAGCUAUGCCGCGUGUAUGAAGAAGGCCUUAGGGUUGUAAAGUACUUUCAUCGGGGAGGAAAAAACAAAACUAAUAAUUUUAUUUCUUGACGUUACCCGAAAAAGAAGCACCGGCUAACUCCGUGCCAGCAGCCGCGGUAAUACGGAGAGUGCUAGCGUUAAUCAGAAUUACUGGGCGUAAAGAGCACGUAGGUGGUUUUUUAAGUCAGAUGUGAAAUCCCUGGGCUUAACCUAGGAACUGCAUUUUGAAACUGAAAUACUAGAGUAUCGUAGAGGGAGGUAGAAUUCUAGGUGUAGCGGUGAAAUGCGUAGAUAUCUGGAGGAAUACCUGUGGCGAAAGCGGCCUCCUAAACGAAUACUGACACUGAGGUGCGAAAGCGUGGGGAGCAAACAGGGAUUAGAUACC